AUACAGAGGGUGCAAGCGUUAAUCGGAAUUACUGGGCGUAAAGCGCACGUAGGUGGUUCAUUAAGUCAGAUGUGAAAGCCCCGGGCUCAACCUGGGAACUGCAUUUGAAACUGGUGAGCUAGAGUAUGCUAGAGGUAAGUGGAAUUCCAGGUGUAGCGGUGAAAUGCGUAGAUAUCUGGAGGAACAUCAGUGGCGAAGGCGACUUACUGGACCAAUACUGACACUGAGGUGCGAAAGCGUGGGGAGCAAACAGAAUUAGAAACCCUAGUAGUCC
rnacentral:rRNA from 1 species